UACGUAGGGUGCGAGCGUUAAUCGGAAUUACUGGGCGUAAAGCGUGCGCAGGCGGCGCGUUAAGACAGGUGUGAAAGCCCCGAGCUUAACUUGGGAAUUGCGCUUGUGACUGGCGAGCUGGAGUGUGGCAGAGGGAGGUGGAAUUCCACGUGUAGCAGUGAAAUGCGUAGAGAUGUGGAGGAACACCGAUGGCAAAGGCAGCCUCCUGGGCCAGCACUGACGCUCAUGCACGAAAGCGUGGGGAGCAAACAGG
rnacentral:rRNA from 1 species